rnacentral:tRNA from 1 species
AGCAGCGUGGCUCAGUGGCAAGAGCCCGGGAUUGAAAGUCAGAGGUCAUGGGUUCGAAUCCCGGCUCUGCCA